UGGGGAAUAUUGCACAAUGGGGGAAACCCUGAUGCAGCGACGCCGCGUGAGCGAAGAAGGCUUUCGAGUCGUAAAGCUCUGUCCUAUGAGAAGAUAAUGACGGUAUCAUAGGAGGAAGCCCUGGCUAAAUACGUGCCAGCAGCCGCGGUAAUACGUAUGGGGCGAGCGUUGUCCGGAAUUAUUGGGCGUAAAGGGUACGUAGGUGGUUUUUUAAGUCAGGUGUCAAAGCGUGGAGCUUAACUCCAUUAAGCACUUGAAACUGAAAGACUUGAGUGAAGGAGAGGAAAGUGGAAUUCCUAGUGUAGCGGUGAAAUGCGUAGAUAUUAGGAGGAAGACCGGUGGCGAAGGCGACUUUCUGGACUUUUACUGACGCUCAGGUACGAAAGCGUGGGGAGCAAACAGG
rnacentral:rRNA from 1 species